ensembl:snoRNA SNORA70 Small nucleolar RNA SNORA70
AAGGAACUUUAAGACGACCAUGCUGCCUCCCCCUGGCACGCGGUGUGCAGAGGCUGCAAACACAGCCUCCUGAGUGGUGUCUGCAGCCUGUUGCUGGUACAGGCCGGCUAAGGGAUCCUGCAGAGAGCC